CUGUAACGAAUUGCUGUAAAAAUUACAGCAUUAUUUUACAGCAGCGGGCUGUUUUUCUAAUAAUACAGAAAAUUGCUGUAAACUGCAAUGCAUUGUGGGGCCGCGUGGCGGUUUAACCCAAUAUACAGAGUAUUGCUGUAAAUUUCAAAUUUUCAGAAUGCAUUGUGGGAUCUUCAACGGUCGAGAUUCGUGAAGCGCCAACAGGAGUGAUUCACAGCUGAGUGGGGUGAGCAAUUGGACAGGCAGGUGGAGAGGAGACACUAGAUGCAUUCAUCCCAGCUUCCUGUCUGACUUUGCCACUCUGUUCACAGCAUAUCAUCUUCAUUCAAAGCGCUCUGUAUCUGGAGAGAGGAACAAAGAAGUCAGGAGGAAAAGUAAACAUCAGGCCAAAUGGUACAGAAGAAACAGGUUGCAGUGAACCUACAUGUUGCUACUCUUCUUUGCAAAGUGAUGGAUUUGCAGUGGAGUUUCUACAAUCCGCCUUUCGCAACCUGUGAUGGAACACAGUCUGGAGCCGAAUUGUUCUCCUUGACCAGAAGUUUAUUGGAAUCGCUUGGGAUCAUUUGGACAUACUGGACUGUUCCUGCAGUGGUGACAAUUAAUCUGUUUUUUAUGUAACAAUUAUACAACUUCAUUUCAUUUCGUCAUCCACGAAAAUUAUUUGUGAGUCCUAUUGGAUUUGAUUCCUAUCAACAGUGAAGGUAAAGACCCAUUGUUCCACACUGUUUUAUAGCAUUAUCAAGCUAUGCCAUUGUUGUUGUCAUCGUUGUUUAGUAACCUCUAGCUAAAUCUAUUUAAUAUUGUGCCUUUAAAGUUAUGCAGUUUUUUAGAUAUUCCUCUUUCUGUGUGAAGGGCCACACAGUGUACAUGUUUCAAUUACUUUAAAAAUAUUUAAUUUCAUGUCCAUUAAAAAAAAACAUUCAAAAUAUAUGUUUUGACAUUUUCCAUGCAAAUGUAAAAGUUAA